CCGAUGAGGUGGAAACGGACAGAGCUGGCGUAUCUGGCUUGCAUUCAGCCGCUGCGCGUCGGGCCCCGGUUUGCCGCACUCCAGAUUGGGAAGGUGGCUGGGYUGCUGGCGUGCUGGUGGUGCAUUUGCAGGUGGAGUGCGCCGAGGCGCCCGGUUCAGCGGCAUGAGCUCGGCUUUGAGGCCAGUCGCGCAAGCGGUCUGGUACCCGGGUCGGGGGAGUGUUGUUUGGGCUGGGUGUUAGCUUGGGCACAGGUUUCGGGCCCGUGUAGGUGCCGAGCUGGCGGUCGGCGGCGGUCGCGUGCGACACGUGCCAGCAGUCAGUUCGGUCCUGCUCGAGCUCUCUCGUGUCCGGCCUCGGUGUAAAAGCCGGUCAUCUGUCCGACCCGUCUUGAAACACGGACCAAGGAGUUUAGCGUGUGCGCGAGUCAUUGGGUGUUGAAAACCCAGAGGCGUAAUGAAAGUGAAGGUCUGCCUUGUGCAGCUGAUGUGUGAUCCUGGGCGCCGCGGCGUCMGGGCGCAACAUAGUCCCGUCCCGACUGCAUGCAGUGGGKCGGAGWCAGAGCGUACGCGCUGAG
rnacentral:rRNA from 1 species